UUAGCCUCAAAGAAAGUUAGCAACCUUCCCGCUAGCCAAGAUUGGCUGAGAUAAUGAGUGGGCUGAGGUAUGAGUUUGGAUUGGUGCGUUGUUGCAUCUUGUGUAUAUAAAAUGAGCUGCUUCUAAAACAGCUUUUUUAAAUCUUUAACUUCAGCCAUGGAGAACUGCAAAUAUGUUACUACUGCUCUCAAUAACAAUGCUUCCCUGAAUUUAUCAGGCGCUAUCUACAAAUGUCAGUCAGAAAAAGUUAUGAUGGAUGACGAUUGUGCCAUGCUGACUCUCUCUCACUCUGAAAAGAACACAUUUUGAAAUCAGUGGAACAUAACCGGCCAAACAAGCUGUGCAAACUAAACGGAAACAACACAGGAAGUCUUAUAAAAGGGUUGAAGCUUUCAUCCAUGUAUACAGAUGGCUGGCUAGCUAGCUUUGUCUGAGAUUGACGGUUGGUUGGACUGGAGGAUGGUACGGUGCUGGUGGAAAGCUAUGGCUGGCAACAACACCGACUCCGUACUUCAGGCCACUGCCACAUACUGUAUCAAGCAGUACCAGCACUUCAGCUUCAAUGCUCUGGAGCCUGGUUUUGUCGCCAAGGAGCGUUCGGACUGCUGCGCAUUUUUCCUCCCAUAGAUGGUCUGCCUGUAAAAGCACCACCUGGACCGGCCAUAGACAAACUAUCUUUUUGACAAGAUCAUGGAGUUUAGCGACGAAGAGGCUAUGGACAUCACAUGCCCUGGACCAAAGUCAAGGGCAGGGCAGAAACAGGCUCUCUGAAUAUAGAUUCCCUUGUUCAUGCGUGGUUUGAACGGACCAGUCAUCAGCACUAUCUGUAGUGCCACUAUUCACAUGACUCUCUCCGAACACACACGCCAUACUUUGCUGCUACAAUUUAUUUAUCCUGCUGCUCAGCCACUUUACUCCUGAUUGUAUGCAUAUAACUACCUCGUCUAUCACUGAUAUCAUUAUUGAUAUUGUUCUUGUACAUACUGUAUAUGUUAUUUAUAUUGACACUAUCCAUUUCUGAUAUUGUUACUAUGCAAGUAACCAUUUGGCUGUAACAUUUACACCUUCUGUAGAGACCAUCCACUUAGCAACAUAUUGAUAUAUAAUUAAUAUUGAUGUGUGGUCGUAACAUGAUUUUGUGACAUACCACAACAAUAUAAUGUGACCGUAUCAAGUGUCCACCCUAUAUGGCGCAUGCAUCUGUUUAUGUACAGUACAUGUGCACCUCACUCAGGUUUCAACUCAGGUUGCAUGGCCUUAACUUAUGUAUGGAUUACUAUGUGAUAAGUGCAUGUGUAACAGUAUAUAAAGUAUGCUAAUGUACUGGUGUGAAGGCAUUUUGGCAGUGCUGUAAAGUACUUAAGUAAAAAUACUUGAAAGUACUACUUAAGUAGUUUGUGGUAUCUGUACAUUACUUUACUAUUUUAUAUUUUUGGCUACUUUUACUUCACUACAUUCGUAAAGAAAAAUGUACUUUUUACUUUAAUACAUUUUCCCUGACACCCAAAAGUACUUACUUUUUGACAGGAAAAUGGUCCAAUUCACACACUUAUCCAGAGAACAUCCCUGGUCAUCCCUACUGCCUCUGAUCUGGCCGAAUCACUAAACACAAAUGCUUCUUUUGUAAAUUAUGUCUGAGUGUUGGAGUGUGCCCCUGGCAAUUGUCAAUAAAAAAAAAACUUGAAAAAUA
ensembl:lncRNA